UGAGCAUGAGCGGUAGGGGCACUCAGAGCUUCUCAGGCUUAUCAACAGGGGCAAGGCCACUAGCUUGUGGGAAGAAGGUCCAGUGAGUGCUGAAUCAGAUCCUCAGUCAAGGACCAACACUGUGUACUCCUGUCCUCCUCGGAGCUCCCACAUUCCAGACUGCAACUGCAGGGAAGAAAUCCUGACACUGAACAUGUGAACACGUCCAACACACCUGAGAACUAACACUACCCUGGACAGAGUCAAUACAGAAUCUGAUCAGCCUCUUACACCUACUUUGCCACCACUCCACAGGAU